rnacentral:misc_RNA from 1 species
CCGAAUUGUUAACACGAGUUGUUGCUGGUCCUCAAACGGGGGCAUGUGCACGCUCCGUUUACACAUCCACCCACACCUGUGCACCCUCUGUAGUUCUAUGGCGUGGGGGACUCUGUCCUCCUGUUGUGGUCCUACGUUUUUACACACACGCCGUAAUAAAGUCUUAUGGAAUGAUGUCGCGUUUAACGCAAUACAAUA